CGAGGGUUUUAGGAGUUUGGCGUUUUUGGUCCCCUCGUAGGAGACAGAAGGAGGAGACGGAGGAGGGAGGAGAUGCAGAAGGAGGAGGUAGGGGAUUGAGUAGAGUUGGGGUGACGUUGAUGUCUAGGUGGAGCGGGAGCUCGCCGGAGGGUACCGCAGCGGGAGGCCUUUGGGAUUAGGGUUGGGGUUGCAGGGGAAGCUCGAGUCGUCCGAGAAGUUCGGAGGGGGUUUGGGAUUGGUGGGGUGUUGGCACGGCUGGGGGCGACCGUAGAAGGGCCCGCCGGGCGGGCCGCGCGGCUACCGGUGGCCCGGCGGCCCGGGGAUGAGGAUGGGCGGGCGGUGGGGCGGGAAGGUGGCGUUGGGCAUGGAGUUGAUGGGGUGGCUAGGGUUGCGGCAGGUGGAGGGGCAGCGGCGGAAGCGCUUAGGAUUGGGGUGACCUUUGGGAUAGGGAUUGAGGUUGGGGCCGGGGUUAGGCCCUCGAGCCGAGUACGUCGACGACCCGUUGUGGCGCGGGUGGGUGGAGCUCAGGCACCACAGGUACGGCGGAUGCAGUAGCCUCAAGAGACCGCCGGGCCACCGCGGCGACGGUCCCUACGGCAGUCGUGGCGGCCGCUCCUACUGUUCGUGUUCGUCGUUCUACGGGGCCCCGUCCGACGACCCUGGCCCCCUGUCCCGGCACGUGCUGCACCUGAGCGCCGACGGUCCCCUCCGCGUCGGUGGCGUCGACCUUCACUGCGGGUAGUGGUUCAUGUGGAGCCUGGGCCCCAACCACGACCCGGCCGUCUAGCGACAUUUGGCUUGCAUGUAGCACAUGCCGGAGUUCGAACCGUUGUAGGCGCACGAGUUGUAGUUGUGGCGUGAGGCGAGCGAGGAAGCACCCGUGUGUGUCUCCCACUGCCUGUACCGAAAGAAACGUCUUCUACAGGUAGCAAAUCGUUCACGUUCGCAUCUACCCGCAUAUAUACAUACCUUCUAACUGCUCCCUGGGCUACUCCUUUUAUUUGGUGUUUAGUGUCCUUUCUAACUUUACCGGUAGGUCUAUCAUCCUCUACGACCUUGAAUGGUAGGCUCUUAUACAACCGUGAGGGUAUUCGUUCUUUAAGACAAACAACCUUAUCCCUUGACACAGAAUUUUUAUCUGUGUUGUUUUCACCCUUCUCCUUCUCUGAAGUCAUUUCUUCUCGGAGAAUUUACAAGUGAACUAUUCGAGUAACUACCACACGUGAACCAACCAUUUGUACUGCCCCUACAGUGUCUAGACAGGAAUAGAGUUACCUACUGAUGGGCAGACCGAAGUCGUAGUUUUCUACCGUGCCAUUUUUAGACCCUACUAGCGUCCUGUCACGGAAAUAGACACUACUUUGGCGUACUACCAUUUCGACAAAUAAGCCAAAGAAAGGAAUGUCGUGGUCUCGUUGGUUUAGUAUAUUUAGAGCAAUGUCGCCCCGGAGAGUUGGCUCUUCAUUUUUAGACCCGAAGGAGACUAUUCCUUCCAACCAACAACGGUUCACUUAGACUCUGAACCUCUACGUGAGUUUGAGACCUUGAACACUCAAGAGACCUUUUAUCCAAACUCCUUCGUAAAAAGUUGGUUCAUCGUCACAACGGUGUUCGAUCGGAAUAAAACGAACGCUUACGGUUUUUCUUGCGAUAUAUACGAUAGGUACAACUCAUACCAGGUCUAGGACGAAGAUGAGCAGACCUGAUAUAUCGUCUAAAGUGUCAACGUUACGGAUAAAAUUCAGACUGCCCUUGUGUACUUUCGGUCGGACUACCACUUGUACAUCAUGUUCAGAUAACACAGGUCUGUUACCGAUAGGUCGUCAUACCUAACCUCAAUAAUGAGACAAACGGAGGAUGUCGACUAUUGCGACCCGAACCAUCCCUAGACCGAUAAAGGGUACGUAUACUCUCUGGAGAUCUUCACCGUAGUCACCUCAGUAGUUGUCUUUGAUUUGGUGACUCACUAGUAGUCCCUUGUCUUCGACUAUGACGAUGAGUACAAAGUAGGGGUUGAGGAAGUAGUUUGUACCUAUUACGACCUAGAAUACGUCUUCGACAGAACUCUUCUCUUCGAAGUUCUCCGGGUAGAGAACCACUAGUACUACCCCUGUUCAGUAGAAAACUAAUAAGUUUCUUUUCCUACCUAAGACUACCAUGUUCACCCGUUCCUCGUAAACUAUCCUUCCUAACGAAACCCUUACUUCUCGGUUCUCCACCGGUCCAACUACCAUGUCAAAGUCUAGGAGUAGGGUGCAAAUUCCAGCCUCACUUACGGUGUGUGAACUAAUGGGGUAGACUUUAAUAAAGUCCACACGAGGGUAGACGACUUAGCUGACGAUUACCGUCGGGUGUCUUACAUCUUUACCUCAGUUUUGAACACCGACUCUUUUUUCGUCUAGUUUUAUAACCUAAACUCCUACAAUUCCUCUGGGUUUAACAAGUUCUCUUUUACCUCUCUGAAUUGUACAGAAGUCUCGUUUGACAUCUCUGUUAAUCACUUGCGAGCCAUUGUUGACUGUUCAUGUCACACCUUCUAAGUGUCUCUAGUCUGGGGUGUGAAGACUUUGUUGUAAGACCACGCGCCCUACUUUUAGAAGGUUCUUCUUGUCGACUUCGAUGACUUUUGUAGUUACCGAGAAGCAGUUCCUUGAACGUCAAUGGGAGUCGAUGGUUUCUCCUCUUUCAAGACGUAGGAGUCCACAGACCCGUCUACAGAGGAGAAUGUUCGUGGAAGUUGAGAUGACUAAGUAGUGUACUUGUAGGUUCGUUAUGUUUGGGACGGUAACUAAGACAGGGCGUUCAUCGACGGUAAGUUCCUUGUAACGUUGUCGAAUACCGUUACGUAUGACUGUACGUUUUCGUCGACUUGCGUUAACACAGACGAGGAUAACGUUUCCUCCCGUUUUCCUAGCUCUGUAGUGAGCCCGCAUUAUAACUCUUCAGGUAUUUCCGAUUACAACUACGGUACACCCGAGCAUAGGUCCUCCUUUUACGUUCCGUACUUUUCCAACUUUCUCUCGCUUACGUCGUCUAAAGAUGAGAUUAGUGUUGAAGACAUUUGUUCCUGUAAGGACGAUAUGACCUCUUUAGUAAUUUCUCUCUUUAUAGCAACAACCCUGGGUGGUAACGUUCUUGUUGUUGUGGAUAGUAACUCUUCAGGAACAGAAGACGACAAAGCCUAAGCGAAGUCUUUCAAGAACCCCUUUUCCAACGUUUAGUCGACCUAUUCAGGUAUUCAUGCUUUGAACUUCGAUGACAACGAUUCGUCUAGGUUUGUGUCAAGGUAUGUAGACGGUUCGUCCGUGAAGUCCUACGAAAUGCCAGUUCGAAACUCAGUAGUUAAUAGGGUCGUAAACUUGUUAGAACAUUCUGUUACAAACUCGUUCACCUACCACGUAAGGUCUUCCCGUACAGACUCGUACCAUGACGAUAGGUCGUCGUCCAGCGUCGUCGUGUAUCAGGUAACCGUGUCUGAAAUUCCCUUUGUUAGUUAAGUCGUAGUAGUUAAUGGGUCCCAGAAUGUAGUCUCAAUGAACUACCAGUCGCGUUCGAAAACCGUGAUCAACGUAGUCCCUUGGGUUAUAGUGUAUUAUGAUCACGAAACGUCGGGUAGUUGCCUGGUUAUGGGUUAGAGGGACUCCGACUACAAGGUGACCUGGGCUACUUCCUCGAUUGGUCUGAUAAUAGACUCGUUUUCAAACUACUCCGCAAAUGCUACCGAGAAGUUUCUUCACUGCAGAGGUACCAUAGAACCAACACGAGAGUCCAACUAAACGUUCCAGACACAUCUGACUUGGGGCAAGGAGACUUGGUUCCCCAGGAAGACCGGGAAAAGGUCGUUGACCGUACGCUGUAUCGGUUGCUGUGUGGAGACUUCGAAGUUACCUACUGUCGCCAGCGGUACCGUUAGGUUGGUUGGGUAGUCUACUAACGUCGCGUACACUCCGGUUAUAAACUCGUUCAGAUACCACAGAACCGGGCGGUUGUCAGCCAUGGUCCUUGGUCGGGUGACCUUCGCUUGUUGUAGGCGGAUUACUACGUACAUUAGUUGAGCCACUACUACUGGGUGUUCACUCUACUAUCCCGCGUAAGACAUCGGCGACAUUCAAACUUGGUGGUAUACUAGAUAAACACUCGGGCACAUGUCUCCCUUAAAACUCUUCACCGAGAACUUGGCCGUUACACCGUCACUAUGGUAUGGGGAUGGAUCUUCCACAACAUUUAACCAAUACAAGCACAGGCAUGAAUACCGCGGAUGGUGGAACAAACCACCUCGCGAAAUCGAGCAAUGAACGUAAGGAACGUGUACGCAACUCUACAAACACCGGUGGCACGGUCACAGCACACACUUAGGACCGCGGCUGCUACCGUCAAAUUUGCAAGACCACACUUGGUACCUCGACGGCGCCGUGGCUGCUACAGUCAAACAAAUAAAAAGCCUCUCUCAACCUCAACCUUGUACGCUUUCAAAACUACGCAGGAGUCGCGCGACCAAGACACAGCCGGUUACCUUCUUUCUUCCCGGCACGAUUGCAGACUAGAUGUGUCCUGUCACAUUAGAUCAAUCACAACUUUUGUAAGAAUAUAAUACUUUGCGUACCUCGUCAUGUAGUCUGCAUAAUCACAGUCUUUGUGAGAAUAUAAUACC
rnacentral:rRNA from 1 species